GAUGAACGCUGGCGGCGUGCCUAAUACAUGCAAGUCGAGCGAACGGACGAGUAGCUUGCUUCUCUGAUGUUAGCGGCGGACGUGUGAGUAACACGUGUAUAACCUACCUAUAAGACUGGGAUAACUUCGGGAAACCGGAGCUAAUACCGGAUGAUAUUUUGAACCGCAUGGUUCAAAAGUGAAAGACGUUCUUGCUGUCACUUCUAGCUGGAUCCGCGCUGCAUUAGCUAGUUGUUACGGUAACGGCUUACCAAGGCAACGAUGCAUAGCCGACCUGAGAGAGGGAACGGCGACGCCGGAACUGAGACACGGUCCAGAAUCCGACGGGAGGCAGCAGUAGGGAACCUUGCGCAAUGGGCGAAAGGAUGACGGAGCAACGCCGCGUGAGUGAUGAAGGUCUUCGGAUCGGAAAAAUCUGUUAUUAGGGAAGAAAAAAUGUGUAAGGAACGGAGCAAAAAUUGACGGUAACUUAUAAGAAAGCCACGGCUAACUACGUG
rnacentral:rRNA from 1 species